rnacentral:misc_RNA from 1 species
AACGCACAUUGCGCCCAUUAGUAUUCUAGUGGGCAUGCCUGUUCGAGCGUCAUUUCAACCCUUAUGCCUAGCUUAGUGUUGGGAAUCUGCUGUAUGGCAGUUCCUCAAAUACAACGGCGGAUCUGUAAUAUCCUCUGAGCGUAGUAAAUUUUUAUCUCGCUUUUGUCAGGUGUUGCAGCUCUCAGCCGCUAAACCCCCCAAUUUUUGUGGUUGACCUCGGAUCAGGUAGGAAUACCCGCUGAACUUAA